rnacentral:rRNA from 1 species
ACAUGUGGCCAUACCAUGUUGUCAAUGCCUGAUCUCAUCUCAUUGUUGAUGCUAAGCAGGGUUGGGCCUGGUUAGUACUUGGAUGGAAGACUGCUGGGAAUAAGGAAUGUGGUUUGCGUGUG